AGGCCCAUUACCUCAACCCAGUAUCCAAGACUCCAUCACCAUGAAACAAGUUGAAAUCAUGCUUGUGGUCUUUAUAAGUGAGGAGAAAGUUUCUGCUAAUCUUUGCCUCUUUCCCCUUCCUUUUUAUGGUGCUACUUAAAUACGCAGCGAUAUAAAACUAGGCACAAACUCCUAGUGUUUGUGGCACUGUGACCAUGAAGCCAAGCAGGUGAAACACAAAUAUUACCUUUCAAAAAUCAGUCACAUUGAAACGAACAACAUUGGUUGCAUGUAUUUUUGCUGAAACUAAAUUCCCUCUGCAGUGCAAAUACAGUCCUUGCUAUUGCAGAAAACCAUGUCAUUACUCUUUAUUUUUUCUAUCUGAACUUAUGAAUACCACCUGAUUUUCCUGGUCAUAAACACACCGUUUACAUGAAAUGUCCUCUGUGGUAAUCCUAAAAAUAUAAAACCUAAUUUUAGCCUUGAAAUUGGUGUCAUAUUUAGGUUGUCCUCUCCAAUUGUCCUUUUUUGAUCUACAUUUGUCCUUCUUAGACUGUUUGUGGUGAAGGACUAUUUUUAGUUAGUAACAGGUUGAACUGUAGUUGCUCAACACAAUGCGUUGUGUACACUGGGCCGGCCCUUGUCUCUAUCCCAUUUGUUGAGAUGAGUCCACCAAUCACAGAGAAGCACGAGAUGAGUCUGCCAAUCAUAGAUGAGCAUGAGUCGAGCCUACCAAUCACAGAUGAGCAUGUGAUCACGUCAAAUGGUAGCAGGACUUUCUUCAGUCUUUCCUUUCACUUAACAUAUUUAACCAUGAUAAGUAACAUGUACCCCGCCCCACAGACUACUGCAAAGAGUACUGGGUUCAGGUGUGCAUACGGUAGGAUGAUUUUGAGCUCAGUAGCCUAGGGAGGAACUGCAUAAAAACGGACCCAUCACUUGAAAUGAAACAUAGUUUCUGUAAGUGCCUUUACCCCCUCUGUAAGCCUGUUCCUACUGAAAAUGAAGUCUGGUCUUUCCAGUCGAGAGCACUUCAGUCCUCUUUCCAGGACUCUUCUGCAGUUUCCCCAACUUUCAGUGCUUUCCUUCUCUUCUGUCCCAAGAUGGUAUUGAUGUGAAGGGGACCGUCUAGUGUCCUAUGAUGCUGGGUGAAGGGCAUUUCGCCUCUUUACUGUGUAACCCUCAGUGUGCCCACUGCUCUGGAUUUGGCAUGCUUGGACCUGGGCAUUGUGCCCUGGUAUCUACUGAAAUGAGUCUGUGCCUCUUGUUCCUUUGAAUGUCACCCUGGCAGCUGAGUUGCUCUUCCUGGGCCUUAUCACUGAGUCUGCCCGUGAGAUCUCUUAGUCUGCGACCUUCCUCCAUACCCGUCCCACCAGCGUUUCCCCCUCCUGGGAGCCAGGGUUCUCUUACAGUAAAUGUUGACACUCUAUGGACCUGUGGCCAUAUUGAAUAUCGCCUGUGUUAAAUACGGGACCUGAGUGUUAGGUGGUGGUGUUUUUGGCCACUGCGUUCUUUAAUAUGCUCUUCUCUACCCAGGAAUUAGUCUUUCCUUUCCCAGCAGUCUGCCCAGCAGCCCAGAGAUGACGUAGCUUGAAGCAGACAGUUUCUCCUCAAUGCCUUCUCAACUGACAUUGUGCACAGCCCUUCUCGACUGGUUGGCUAGUAGUCUGCCCUCUCUAUCUCUUCAGCAGACACAGGCAUGUGAGAACUGACGUGUUUCUCCUCGGAAUUAGCACCGUGUGUUUCCUAAUAGAUACUGAUAGUUUAUUCUGAGAUAAGAGUCUCACUCACUCUGUAGUCUAGAGUCUCCAAGAAUUUAUAGUAAUCCUCCUGCCUCAGUCUCCCAAGUGCUGGUCUUACAGAUGUAAACCACCAUACUUGGUGUGAUAUUGAUGCAUUUUUAAAAAGCUUACCUUAAAAUUCAAGCGAAGAUUUUUUAGAAGAAAUCGCCAGAUACACUCGAGAUUUCUUGUCUGGAUUUAUAAAAUUAAUCAUUUUCCUCUCCCUCCUCUUUUACUGGCGAAGGGUUGUUGUCUUUGAUGUUCGUAGCCUUUGAAUAUAGGAUCUAGUGGGCCAUAUGAAAAUCUUGUUUAUAGUUUGACAGAAUAAUUCAAAUUUAUGUAUUUUUUUUGGGUACAAAUCAUUAUGUAAACAAAAGAUAGUGAAUGAUGUUUUUACCCAUUUGGUACACUUAAAAAAUAGC
rnacentral:lncRNA from 1 species